rnacentral:rRNA from 1 species
AAUUUAAUUUAAGGUCUAACCUGCCCAAUGAAAGAUUUAAAUGGCCGCAGUAUUUUGACUGUGCAAAGGUAGCAUAAUCAUUAGUUUUUUAAUUGAAAGCUUGUAUGAAGGGUUGGACGAGAUAAAAACUGUCUUAAGUUAAUUUAUUAUAGAAUUUAAUUUUUAAGUUAAAAAGCUUAAAUUUUAUUAAAAGACGAGAAGACCCUAUAGAUCUUUAUAAUUAAUAUUUUAAUUAAAUUUUAGAAUUAUUUAUUAUUUAUAAUAUUAAUUAUUUUAUUGGGGUAAUAUAAAGAUUAAAUUAAUUCUUUAUUUAUUUUUACAUUAAUUUAUGAUUAUUUGAUCCAUUAUUAUUGAUUAUAAGAUUAAGUUACCUUAGGGAUAACAGCGUAAUUUUUUUAGAGAGUUCAUAUCGAUAAAAAAGUUUGCGACCUCGAUGUUGGAUUAAAAAUUAUCUUAGGUGCAGAAGUUUAAGAUUUUGGUCUGUUCGACCAUUAAAAUUUU